rnacentral:rRNA from 1 species
CGGACGGGUGAGUAACACGUGGGUAACCUGCCCUUAAGUGGGGGAUAACAUUUGGAAACAGAUGCUAAUACCGCAUAGAUCCAAGAACCGCAUGGUUCUUGGCUGAAAGAUGGCGUAAGCUAUCGCUUUUGGAUGGACCCGCGGCGUAUUAGCUAGUUGGUGAGGUAAUGGCUCACCAAGGCGAUGAUACGUAGCCGAACUGAGAGGUUGAUCGGCCACAUUGGGACUGAGACACGGCCCAAACUCCUACGGGAGGCAGCAGUAGGGAAUCUUCCACAAUGGACGCAAGUCUGAUGGAGCAACGCCGCGUGAGUGAAGAAGGCUUUCGGGUCGUAAAACUCUGUUGUUGGAGAAGAAUGGUCGGCAGAGUAACUGUUGUCGGCGUGACGGUAUCC